rnacentral:lncRNA from 1 species
CCAAACCAGAAGAGAAGAGAAACCAAGGAAGAACAAACCCUAGGUGGGAAAAAUCAAAGAAAAAGUGUUGGAAUUCAAGGAUUUGAUCAAGCAAAGGUAUAAUUUCUUUGAUUUUGCUAGUGAUUUACCUUACCCAUGCAUUUUCCCUUAAUUUCCAUGGUUAAAUUACAUGUUUUCAUGAUGAAUUCAUGGCUGGUCAAAAUGGGUAAGGAGAGAGAAAGAUGUUGGAUUGAAUUGAUUUUAAGGUAUGUUAGUGUUUUUAGUUAGUUUAGCAUAUUUAGAAGCAAAACAACAAGAAAAGAAUCCAUUUUCCCCAUGAAUCUUCAUUGGUCGAAUCUUCCUUGAUGUGUGUGGGUGAUGGAUUGUUAUUAUUUCAAGAGAAAUAGCUUAGAAAAUGAUGAAUAAUGGUGAGAAAAGUAAGUAGGAAAAAUCACGGUGUUAGUGCACAAUAAUGGUCGAAUUUUUCCAUGAAGAAAUGGGAAGGUUUUGAUGUUGAAAUUGGUAUUAUUUGAAUAAUAUUUAGUGAAUUGAAAUAUUAGAAAUGAAAUGGAGCAAUUUGGAGCCAAAUUGGACACAAUUGUCAUUUAAUCGGGUAAGAGGCCGAAUUAGGUCAGUACCGUAUUUAAGCAGUAGUCGGAUAAGUUGCAUAUCAUAUCAUGCAUAUACACCGAGCCUGAAUUGAUUUUAUAAUGGUCAAGCAUUGAUGUGGUGAAUUAUGUAUUGUACAUUGUGGAUAGGUGGUGAGUAAAUUGCACUGGUAAAAGUACAGAGAUUGUGCUUGAAGACUGGGAUUAGGAGUACAUCGACUCCUAGAACUGUGAGUAAACUUAUUAUCGUCUUAAUUAUCUAGAGUAGUUUUAUACAAUUGUGUGAUUUUACAGAAAAUGGGUUGAAAUGGUAAAUUGCUAUGUUUUAGGAGAAAUUGUGAUUUUAUAAAAUGAUUUUAUAAAUUUUAUGAAAAAUUGAAUACUGGUUUUGAAUAUAAAGUAAUUGGAGACUGCCUGCUUGUGUUAUAAAUUGUGUUUUAAUUUAUAUGGCUUAUAGCAAUAUGUGAGCAUGACUGGCAAAGUCGGUAUUUGUAUCAAAAUUAUAUAUACUAUGUAUUUAGCCUUGAGAGGCUAGAUUGCGAUAAAUUGCCAUGUCAUGCAGAUAAAGAUUUUAUAAAUCAGGUGGUAGAUAAAAUAAUCCAUAGUCAUUGCAGUGGUGGGGGUUUUCGUGGACUGCCUAUGAGAGGGGCAUGGUAACCCAAUUAUAUAUUUACCUCCAAGGGAGAUGUUGGAUGAAGUAUCUCCUGAGGUAAAGAUUUGAGUACACUUCACGUGGACCACCGCGUGAGAGUGAGACUCAGCCAAUGCCAAGGUAUGGCUAAAAUUUCGGAUGUAAAGACAUUUAACAGUCUUGGCGGACUCGGUUGGGAUAACCCUUGAUCAAGGUAUCCUUGAUAACUGAGUAUGAGAAUGAUUAUUUUUGGCAUGAGCCAAGCUUUUCAGGAAAUCAUAAGCCUAUUUGUUUAUUUAGUUAAAAUGAGUUGAAAGGUAAUGAAAUUACAGUAUGAUGACUUACUUUAAUUCGUCUCCAUUUACUCGUUUUUAGAUAGUUUAGAUGGUGUCUGUUUACUCACUGAGAUUUUAUAAUCUCACCACCCUCAUUUCCUCACAUUUCAGGCUCAGGGAAUUCCAUAGUUAGCUGACUUUGACAAGGACCUUCAUUUGGACUUAAAUCGACAAAAGCUGUAGGUUUUCAGCUUCCGAUGCAUUUUGGUCAGUUGAGGGCCCACGUGUCACUGUAAAAGUAAAUUUAUACUUCAGUUAUCUGAUUUAAAGUAUGUAUGAACAUAUUUAGCUUUUACAUCAUAUUUUUGGCGGGUUUCGGUAUUUUUAAAAAAAAAAUGAUGAAAAUGCCCUUGUGAGCCAAAAAAUAAUAUUUUAUUGUUUUGAUUUGGAAACGACUUAUGAUUUCUUGAAAUAUGAGAUUUAAUAACUGUCGCUCACCGGGGAGAUGCGGAAGCUGAUGCUAAGCCUUGCGGGGUUCCGAUCGGCAUUCGGGGUAAUGAGUGCCUAUCUGGACGUCACGGCGGUUGUCAUGGGCUUGAUGAAAGUUUCGGGUCGUGACAAAAAGCAUGCACUUAUUCUCUGAAAUAUUUUAAUGUAUUCUCAUUUAUUCAUACCUCAAUUUGUAUUCUUAGAUUUCUCAUACGCCACAUAUUUAACCUUAUUUUUAUUGCUACUCUCUUUUUUUUUGAUUAGGUCAAAAUAAGAUUGCCAAUCCUUUUAAUGAUGCUAUAAAUUAGUUCGUUUAUCAUGCCAACUUCAUAAUCCUUUAUUCACAAUUUCCUCACUUGAUAUUAUCAUCCCUAUAUCUCGUAAGAUUCAUCUUCAAUUAAUUUGACAUUCCUUUUGAUUUGUCACAUCGUAGCUUAUCUCAAUAACUGUCCAACUUCCUUUUUUUUUUUCUUACAUGCCAUGAUAUAUAAGGCAAUGAAGAAACCUUUCAAUUCAUGUAUCGUUCUCCUAAUCAUUUAAAUCUCCACAUAAAAACGUUCAAUAUGAAGGUCAACGAUCCGAAUUUAACUUGUACAUUUAUUUUCAUACUUUCCACACCUUGCUCAUGUAUCCAAUUGUGAGACCUUGACCCCUAUUGACUCGUAACUAGCAGAUAUACGAUAACAUGAACUAGGGGUAAUUUCGUCAUUUCUCCUGGUCAGUCCCUGAAAUUUGUUUUCUAAUGUUAUUGGGGUCCAAGUAGGCUUAAGGAAUGAAUGGAUGAGGAUAAGAUAAUGAAGAAGAUAGAAAUACUGAUAAUUUUCACGAUAAGGGUAAAACGGUCAUUUUACAUCUCGGGUUGAAAUUUUUAAGUUUUCAUGAACCCGAGUAUUUCUAAACCCUUAUGGACCUUGUCUCAGUGUUAAUGAAGUAAAAAGAUUGCAUAAAAGUAAUGGAAAAAAAAACAAAAUGACAUAGUUAAGGGCAUUUUGGUAAUUUUGCUAGAAAUGGAUAAACUUAAGCCAUAAAAAUCUAAGUUUCUAGGAUGUUCUUCAAAUUUCCAGCACUUCUUCUUCUUGUCCUUCCUCUCCCACGUUCUCUCACCCCCUCAUGGAAGCUUGCCUUGAAUUUCCAUAUAUUUCCUUGAGUUAACCCCGAUUUUUCAUGUUUUUGUGUACCUUUUCCCAAAGUUCUUUGUACUCUUCUACUUUCUCACCAUAAAAACCCUUAAAAACCUUUCCUUAUUGCACUUUCUCACUAGCUGGACAUUCUAGAGAGAGAAAGUAAGAUUUUCAUGAUAGUUUGAAAGCUUUUGGGAAAGAAAUUCAAUUACAAAGCUACCAAGGUGAGUAGUGAAAUUGAGUUGAUUUUUUUUAAGUUAUUGAGAAUGGCUAGUGGCUAGAUCGGUGAGUGUUUUGUAGUUGAGGUGGGUUAUUCAUUGUAGAGUGACUAGAAUAGUGAAAAUAUAUAGUCACUUGAUGGUAGAUGGAAGCUAGUUAAAAACAACUAGCAGAACAUGAUUUAGUGGAUAGCUUUUAGAAAUAUAAUUAUGCAAAUCGGGUUGGUUGUGAUGUUGUUGUGAUGAUAGGUCCCAACGAGGCCCCACAGUCCCAUUUGGACCAUUAGUGGAGGUUGGAGUCGAGU